rnacentral:lncRNA from 1 species
AUACAAUAGAAUAGAAUGAAUAUUUCAGUUGGAAUGUACCUACAACGCUCAUCUGGCCCACCUAUCUGACCUCUUCAGUGCAUUAAGGACAAAUGUCCAAAUGCCUCCUAAACACUGACAGAUUUGGGGAAUCAAACACCUCUCUUGAAGUCUGUUCCAGUGUCUGACCAUCCUCUUGGUAAAGAAAUGCUUCCUGAUGUCCAGCCUAAACAUCUCCUGGUGCAGCUUUGAACAAUUCCCGUGUGCUCUGUCACUGGAUACCAGGGAGAUGAAUCAAAAUUUGACAUAGAAAGAAUCACAGAAUGGUUUGGGUUGGUGAUAUUGGUGUCCAGCAGCAUCUGGAAGGAGGAGGAGGCACCUAAUCUGAGGUGUGAAUUUAGGGAACUUUGCUGCUGGGCAUUAGGGAUCCUGCAUAGUUUCAGGGUGUGAAGUUUAUGAGUAGGAGUUUGAGGAUUUCAAGUUUGGAUUUAGAUACAACUCCCACAUCUCUCAAAGGUGCUGUAAAUACUCAUAAUUUUUCUGGGAGAAGAGAUAUUUGGAGAACUGCAAGUCUGGGGCUUAAAAUGUGCAGAGAUCCCAAGUUACCAGGGAUGCACUGAUAUCAGCAAAAGCUAAAACAAAAGAGCCUGUUAAAGUAAAGAGGACAACUCCAAUGUGCUCCAGAAGACCUUUUGGAAAAGCUCAUUCCAAUGUGCUCCAAAAUUCAGUAUUGCUCACUGAAGACCUCACAGUUUGCAUUUGGGGGACUGAAAGUUGCUCCAUGGAAUUUGGAAGCCAUGCUUUCAGAGGGGAACUUGAAGGACAAAACAAAGGAAGCAUUUGCAGCCUGUUUCUAUCUCUCUUACCCUGGCAGACUCGAAGGUGCUUUGUCAAGGCUGUGGUUUGGAAAGUGUUAAGCAAAUUUGGCCAAGGCCCAUGGAUGCCCCUGUAGCACAAGGCAGGAAGAGCAGCAACAUUUAAUGAGAUUCUCCCUCAGGAAUGAUGGAGGAAAAGAGAACCUUU